rnacentral:lncRNA from 1 species
CAAGUUUGUUGCUACCGUAGUCUUCAUAUUCAAGGCUAAGGAUUUUUUUAUUGGAAGCAACAAACACCACAAAUCCAAAUCCAAUUACCUACUUCAAAGUAUACCUUAAGAAUUUGUGUUCAAAGAAUAAGUACAUCUCUCUCCAAACUUUUAGCAUGUGUGAUAUUGAAUAAGAACCAAGUGAUUCUAUUAUAUAUGUUGUACUAACGAAAUGAG